rnacentral:lncRNA from 12 species
CUGGGCUGUGCCUGUGACUCCACACCAGAGCGUGGGAGGCACACAUUGACUUGGAAGCUGGGAAUUGUUCCUGGGUUCCAUAGGUUAGACAUGAUCAAGACAUGGUUUCUGAGAAGUGACUGAAGAAACUCAGAUCUGAAAAGGAAUGUCAGCAAAUGUCAUACCACCUACUUUCCCCUUCAGAUUCAGAUAUUUCUUCUAGAAAUGAAGUUGAAACCUUGAAACUUGAUUAUGCAUUGAAACUAUGGGAUACUGAGAUUGGGCUGAAGGUCCACGAUGGCCACCAGUGGCACUGCUGUGGAGAUGGCAGCAGAGAUGUUCCAAAAUGUACCAGCUGGAAAUCUGUUCUGUGCAGCUAAGCAGGAACUUGCUGGAAUAUUUUGAAGCAAUA